rnacentral:lncRNA from 1 species
AUGCCUGGCACGGAAAGAUGCAGCCCGUCACUCAGAGAGGCUGAUGAAUGCGCGGCACUUAGAAUGGUUGAGUGGAGAACUGGAGUCAGAAAUGACUGUGCCUCCUCCUCUGAAUCUUACCAUACCAUUUACCUAAGAGCGUCAGUCUUCCUCAGCGGCACGAACAUUCUAUCUGAUCACUGUCUUGAAAUGCAGAAGAGAACCAGAUUCUGGAAGUCCUGGUUCCUUCAGCUCUGCUUCCUUCACAUAUUCUGGAAGAAUGGCAGCAGAAAAGGGAUCAGAGGCAGCCACAGACCCUGGUUGGGGGGGCAGAUGAAGGCAGAAGAGAGAUCGAUUUGCCUCUGGUUACUUGAAUCACUGGGACUGCCUGGCACUGGGCUUAUGUCAUAUUCACGGAUCAACCCAGUACUACUGGGAAGCUCCUGAGUUAGAUGCCAAUUCCCAAAUAUGACCGAACACGUUGCAGAAGGAACGUUAGAUCGUCUGCAGUGCACCAUCUGGACGCCCUGUGCAAUGCAAAUUCUUCUUUGAGACCUGGUGACCAGGUGAGCAGACUCCUUGACCCCAUUUUAUUCACAGGGGACAUUUUACACACCCUCCUUUUUGUAUGUGUUGGUUUGGUUCGUUCUAUUUCGGUGAUCUUGCAAUGAGCCUGCAUUUCCAAGUGUUCUAGAUCGCCCUUUCUCUAAAAUCUAAGCCGAGAUAAGCAGAACUUCCAGAGGACAAGAAAGCAUUUCCUCUUCCGGAAAAGGAAGGUGUGGUGGAUUAAAGAAUUUUUCCAUCCAUUCCUCCAGGAAGGCCGGGGCAGGGCUGCUCAUCAGCUUUGAGAAGUUUUAAAGGCGCAGACUGCUUGCUCCACAUGCUGCCCCCUGCCCCCCAAAUUAAAAGCUAUGCACACCUUGGUGGAGGGGAAACCUGAGGGCGUGUGGGAUCAGUGUUGGAAAUCAGCAGGGAACAGGCUUGAUCUUGACAGUAAGGGUGUGGGGGAGUAUCCUUAACUAAUUCUGAGUCACCAGGAGACCGAUUUUCCAGCAGGGGGAGGAUCGAAAGAGGUAGGAACACCCAGUUCAAGCUGCUUCAACUUGGUACAUUGCAGAGGGCAGCCUGAUGGAUUUUGCUGCAUCGCCGCGUUCUCCUUGUGAACACGCUCCCCCCAGAUCAGUGUCUUCAAGGAGCUGCCUUGCACGGAUCUGAUGGAGGGAUAAAUAUACUUGUAUCUAACAUAAAAAUUUGAGAACUUCCGUCUUCAACUACUCGCACGUCAAUCUCUUGCUAUGCCUCACGGGGGCUGGGAGAACAAGAGUCAAAUUCACAUAGUUACCCGCUUCAGAGAAAAUCAGGGCUCAUCUUUGGGUUAUACUGUUCCUUCCCAGGGGGUGACGCUAAGGCGGAACUUACUGGGCCACCGUCUUGUCUUCACGGUGCC